rnacentral:rRNA from 1 species
AGGGUGGCGUAGGCGGUUUAUUAAGUCAGUGGUGAAAGACGGUCGCUCAACGAUUGCAGUGCCAUUGAUACUGGUAGACUUGAGUGAGAUUGAGGUAGCUGGAAUGGAUAAGUGUAGCGGUGAAAUGCAUAGAUAUUAUCCAGAACACCAAUUGCGUAGGCAAGUUACUAAGUCUCAACUGACGCUGAGGCACGAAAGUGUGGGUAUCAAACAGGAUUAGAUACCCGGGU